UUUGAAUUCCUAGCUUUGAAAUUCCUAGCUGACAAUGCGAUACCUAUGUAUUCAAAAUUUUACCCCUAGCUUCAUUGGAGGAUAAAAUACUGUAAAAAACAUUCAUCUCCUUCCGUAAAAAAAAAACGUUUUAAUCUAUAUUGAAAUCCAACCCUACUUUUUAUUUCUUCAACCCAGCUGUAAAAUAAUUCUAUAAUUUGUGGGUUAAGACUGGGUUUGGAUCGGACUGUCCAGUCAUGCACGAUCUAUCGUGGUAUACAACGAGCGGCAAAAUCAAUUAAUGGUCGUCAUAAUA